CCUACGGGGCGCUGCAGUGGGGAAUGUUGGACAAUGGGCGAAAGCCUGAUCCAGCCAUGCCGCGUGUGUGAAGAAGGCCUUCGGGUUGUAAAGCACUUUCAGUGGGGAAGAAAGCCUUGGGGCUAAUACCCUCGAGGAAGGACAUCACCCACAGAAGAAGCACCGGCUAACUCCGUGCCAGCAGCCGCGGUAAUACGGAGGGUGCGAGCGUUAAUCGGAAUUACUGGGCGUAAAGCGCGCGUAGGCGGUCUGAUAAGCCGGUUGUGAAAGCCCCGGGCUCAACCUGGGAACGGCAUCCGGAACUGUCAGGCUAGAGUGCAGGAGAGGAAGGUAGAAUUCCCGGUGUAGCGGUGAAAUGCGUAGAGAUCGGGAGGAAUACCAGUGGCGAAGGCGGCCUUCUGGACUGACACUGACGCUGAGGUGCGAAAGCGUGGGUAGCAAACAGGAUUAGAUACCCGGGUAGUC
rnacentral:rRNA from 1 species